rnacentral:rRNA from 1 species
UGGGGAAUAUUGGACAAUGGGCGAAAGCCUGAUCCAGCCAUGCCGCGUGUGUGAAGAAGGUCUUCGGAUUGUAAAGCACUUUAAGUUGGGAGGAAGGGCUGUUACCUAAUACGUGAUGGUUUUGACGUUACCGACAGAAUAAGCACCGGCUAACUCUGUGCCAGCAGCCGCGGUAAUACAGAGGGUGCAAGCGUUAAUCGGAAUUACUGGGCGUAAAGCGCGCGUAGGUGGUUUGUUAAGUUGGAUGUGAAAUCCCCGGGCUCAACCUGGGAACUACAUUCAAAACUGACGGACUAGAGUAUGGUAGAGGGUGGUGGAAUUUCCUGUGUAGCGGUGAAAUGCGUAGAUAUAGGAAGGAACACCAGUGGCGAAGGCGACCACCUGGACUGAUACUGACACUGAGGUGCGAAAGCGUGGGGAGCAAACA